AGAGUUGAUCAUGGCUCAGAACGAACGCUGGUGGCGUGUCUUAUACAUGCAAGUCGAGCGGUGCAGCAAUGCAUAGCGGCGAACGGGUGAGUAACGCGUAAGCAAUCUGCCCCCUGUUCGGGAAUAGCCGUGCCAACGCGCGGGUAAUACCGGAUAUCGUGGCUUCCCCCAUGGGAAGUUGACAAAAGAUUUAUCGACAGGGGAUGAGCUUGCGUCCGAUUAGCUAGUUGGCGGGGCAACGGCCCACCAAGGCGACGAUCGGUAGCCGGCCUGAGAGGGUGAUCGGCCACAUUGGGACUGAGAUACGGCCCAGACUCCUACGGGAGGCAGCAGUAGGGAAUAUUGCACAAUGGGGGAAACCCUGAUGCAGCAACGCCACGUGGUUGGGGAAGAAGCAUUUCGGUGUGUAAACCACUGUCGUGAGGGAAUAAGGCUGAUUUUCGGAUUAGUUGAAUGUACCUCGAGAGGAAGCACCGGCAAACUUCGUGCCAGCAGCUGC
rnacentral:rRNA from 1 species